rnacentral:lncRNA from 1 species
GUCGGCUCGGCCUAGUUUAGGGUCCUGGCCUCGGCGGGAUCUGAGGGCAGCUUCAGGUAGGGUGUGCCGCGUAAGGCCCAGCGGAGACUGUGCCCGGGAGCCGAGGCGUUUUCGAGUGGCAAGGCGCGCGCGAGCUGGGGCGCAGCGAGAGAAGGUGUGAGGCUGAGCGGUGCCCGGGACUCCCGGGUCGGCCAGGGGCGGGGGGAUUGGGGGACUCUCGGUGACGUCAGAGGUUCGCAGGACCCGGACGGGGCGGGAUUCGCUCCUCUCCGGGCGGUCUUCCCAGGCGGCCCUUCGGUAAAGGGCGUCCUCUCCAGGUGGAGAGACCUCUGGGGAGGGAGAAGAAUUUGGAACUGUGAUUGUGGGAGAAGGGACUGGGGAAUCGGCCAGGUCCCAUCCUGCGGUUCCUGCUGCUAGAGCGUCUCUGCUAAGUGUCAGAUUCAGCCUUUAGCCAGGGGAACCCGCUGCCAAGCUCAUUCAGGUAGUUGGCAGAAUCCGUUGCUUUGUGAUUGUCAUAUACAGGUUCGUCGUUUCUUUGCUGCCUGACAGGCAGAGCAGCCCAUGGCUCCUGGAAGGAGCCCGUGUACAUCUGCCAGCUAGCUUUGGCUGUGGUUAGAUUGGGUCCACCCUGGUAAUCCAUGCCGUAACCUUAGUUCUUUAUGCAAAGUCCCUUGUGCUAUAUACUGCAGCAUAUCUACAGGGUCUUGGAAGUAGGAUGUGAACAUGGGGAAAGAGUGUUCUGCCUAACACAGAUUAAGCGCAUGUCUAGGGACCAUCCCACUGAGAAUAAACAGAGAAAAGCAACGUGUAAAAUUAGUGCCAGACGAGUUUGGUACCGUUUGUAAUUUUUUUAAAACAGGAAAAAAAAAAGUGCAUACGUGUAUUUGCUUGUGAAGCCUAGAGUAAUCUGGAAGGACAUUUCAAAGUGGAAAGGAGAACCAAGUGACUGGGACAUUUUUAACUUUUUCUUUAAACCUUUUAAAUGUUGAGCUAUGUGACUCAAAACUCCUAUUCAGAACAAUGAUGAAAAUUCAAGGUAAUUUAAAAUAAAAUGUACUGAAUAAAUGUUGGAGAUUAUUUAAAUUCCCCCAUGAAUGGGAAGAGUGAAAAUUCCUUCCAGGGAAUCUGGGCAUCUGCUCCCAGGGCAGGCAGACACACCAUCACUGACAGUCUUAUAACUCCCUCUCAAGUUUCCUGCUGUGCAUCUACUGCUGAAUGGAUGGGAACCUUAGUGUAUUCCCUGCUCUGAGUCUCAUCUUAUACCAUCCUUCUGCACACACUUCCAAGUUAAUCUUUUGAGACAUUUUGUUUUUUGUCUCCUGAUUUAGAAAUGCAGCCAAAGCCUUACUGCAUCAGCCAACCAGUGCCUCCUAACAGUCUGUCCCCAGUGACAUCCCUCUGAGCUCUGUCCUUACCUCCUUGUCUUCUCUCAUAAGCUUUGUCUCUAAACUUGCUCUCUGGCAUCCUCACUCAGUUGUGCCUUCCUCUGUGAUCUCAACCCAGCAGCCCUGGGUGAUGUCUGCUGUCAUCCCUACUCCUUGCACCUUUCUCCAGCCACCCUUCUUCAGAGAAACUCCCUCUCAGAUCCUUUCCAGGUCCCCUUGACUGCACCUCACCAAUAUCCCCUUGACUCUAUCUAAACCCAAUGUGGAACAGAAUAUCCCUUCUCCCAGGAAAGGCAGAAAAG